rnacentral:rRNA from 1 species
UACGGGAGGCAGCAGUGGGGAAUUUUGCGCAAUGGGCGAAAGCCUGACGCAGCGACGCCGCGUGAGGGAUGAAGGUCUUCGUGAUCGUAAACCUCUGUCAGGAAGGAUUAAGGCAUGGGUGCUAACAGCACCCGGUGUUUGACUUAACUUCCAGAGGAAGCCCCGGCUAACUACGUGCCAGCAGCCGCGGUAAUACGUAGGGGGCAAGCGUUACUCGGAUUUAUUGGGCGUAAAGCGAAUGUAGGCGGUUUUGUAAGUCAGGGGUGAAAUCCCUCAGCCUAACUGAGGAAUAGCCUUUGAUACUGCAAAACUUGAGGACAGGAGAGGAAAGUGGAAUUCCCGGUGUAGCGGUGGAAUGCGUAGAUAUCGGGAGGAACACCAGAGGCGAAGGCGGCUUUCUGGACUGGUCCUGACGCUGAGAUUCGAAAGCUAGGGGAGCAAACAGGAUUAGAUACCCUGGUAGUCCUGGCUGUAAACGAUGGAUACUAGAUCUUGCAUAUUUAUGCUUGGUCGUAGCUAACGCGUUAAGUAUCCCGCCUGGGGAGUAC